rnacentral:rRNA from 1 species
GUUGAUAGCGUGGCAGGAGGCGGGGUAUAGGGGGGGGUGCGGGGGGUGUCCGGAAUGAUUGGGUGGGAAGAGCUUGUAGGCGGCUUGUGGGGUUUGCUGUGAAAGCCCGGGGCUGAACUCCGGGGUUGCAGUGGGUACGGGCAGGCUAGAGUGUGGUAGGGGAGACUGGAAUUCCUGGUGUAGCGGUGGAAUGCGCAGAUAUCAGGAGGAACACCGAUGGCGAAGGCAGGUCUCUGGGCCAUUACUGACGCUGAGAAGCGAAAGCGUGGGGAGCGAACAGGAUUAGAUACCCUUGUAGUC